AUGCUUAAGGCGACGCAACCGAAAGGAUUUGAUGAAUUUGUAAGAAUCGGAAGACAGUUCCCACACUGUGCAGUGCUGAUGAAAAUUGCCAUAGAAUCUCUCUGGCUCAGGCUCAGGCUCCAGGCUCGGGCUCGGGCUCAGGCUCAGGCUCAGGCUCAGGCUCAGGCUCAGGCUCAGGCUCAGGCUCAGGCUCAGGCUCAGGCUCAGGCUCAGGCUCAGGCUCAGGCUCAGGCUCAGGCUACAUUACACUUCUAA